AAGCGAUCCCGUGCCACCUCAGCAUCCCAAAAUGUUGGGAUCACAGGUGUGAGCCACAGCACCUGGCAGGAAACUGACUCUUUAUUAAAUCUCCAGCAAGGAGAGAUGGUGGCAAGACACUGACUUUGAAUUGGAGGAUGGGAUUGAAGACUGCUCCUGCUUCUUCCUUGGUCAAUGCAUUAAUAACCAGCUCAGAAAAUAAUAUGUCAACCAGAUUUUCUCUCUCAGCAGUGAAUAACAUCUCAGAAUACCUUGGAGGUGCUCACAACUGCGUGCGUUAUUUGCAAUUGGUCCUUGCUUUCCCUCCCCAGUGUGAAGAUUCAUUUCCUCUUCCUUUUCCUUAGCAGAGUUGAAAUGUUUCCUGCUUGCCUGAGUAUGAAGGGAUCACAUGUUUGUCCUUGUGUUUCAGCUCUGCAAUAUAAAUGCUUGAUGUAACCAUUUAA